CUGGUCGGGUCUCCCAAGGCAAAUAGGUCCGAGGUGACAGGCCAGACAAAGAGAGUACAAAGACCCCAUGGAAAAACCGAAACGGAGAGCCCACACCUCGCCCGGACGUGGUGCACCAGGGCCUCGCCCUGGAGCCAAACCUGGUGGUCGUGCCUUCACUCAUGGGGCACUGGCCGAGCCCAACCCGAAAAGGCCACACGAGAUCACCCCCCUGAAGUCCCACCACCUGCAAGAGGGGCUGGACCAUGUUCUCCUCUGGAGAGGCAGCGAGCUGGUGUGGGCUUAUUAACUUUUGGCUUUUUUUGGGGGGGGGAGCGACAGAUCAAAAUCGUAUUCUUAGUGCGUGUGAAUUUCUGACUUAUAGGCAAUGUAUUUCUGUCCCAGUAGGGGGCAACAGUUCUCUUUUCCUCCAACCGGCAGCGACAGAUUGUCUAUGAAGAACACGGAUUGUGGGUUGAGAGAGGAAAAUGGCGGCUAAAACUGUCACAGAGCUUGUCUGGCGGUGGAUCUGCCCUUAGUAGUGACGUGAUCGCGAGAGAUAGAGGUGACAUGGGUGAUGUAGGUGACGUAGACACAAAUGCAGUUGGCAAUGGCAGCCGAAGUAACGAGCUUGUGGUUAGCGUUGCUGAGCCGUGUGGCGCGACACCGGAGCCUGACACCGGAAGCAGUUCGAGUCGGGUGACUCAGAAACCCGACCCUGAUUCUUGUGACGAGUGGCUGCCGUCUGGAUCGGUCAGCAGCAGGGAUUCAUCCCCACAUCCAGCAGACCCCACCGUCACGCUGCUUGGCGUGUAGUGGGGGUGUGCUGGGUGUCCUCCCAUUGUUAAGUCUUCAACUCUCACCUCAGGCCGAGCUUCGUCCGCAUCCCAGGGGAGGACGAGGAUAUUGAGUCCGAAUGGGCCGUAUUCUGCAUUGCCGGGAGUUUUCCUGCUGGGCCGAUUGACUGCCGUUUGUUUGUUUGUUUGUUUAUUUAUUUAUUUAUUUAUUCAUCUAUUGGUGCGCCUUGCCUUUGCAACUACGGUAACAAAAUUUUCCGGGUAGCUCCCGGCUGUUCGAAUAAAAACAAACGACAUCAGGAGGUUUCCUACAGCCACAGUUGUUAAUUAGAGACUACACUAAUUAGAGCCCAUGGAGGUCGUUUGCUUUUGUAAACCACACGCGAGAGGAGAUUCAGCUGGUAAUCCAAAAGAAGCAUGAAUUGGAGCAUUUACGGUAUAAGAUAUACUCAACAGAAAGAGACGAAAAUGAACCUGGGGUUGAGAAGGCCAACAUCAAGAUACCAGAGCACUCACAGUCCGAAGAGCCGAGCCACUAAGGUGCCAAAGCGGUCAAAGACGAGGCCGAUGAGGAGUGUGAGGAAAUUAUUCAGGAAGGAUGCGAUGAUCUCCAGGUCAGAGGUGAGAAAAGGGCAAACUCACCUUGCGCCAGCGAGCCGUCGAUGUCUGUGGCGUUGACGCAAAAGGAGGCGAAGAAACCCUGCGUCUUGAGAAUGAAAACAAGCGAUGGCCAACCGAACAUGAUGCCCGCAAAACCCAGACUCUCCACCAUGCCCGUGACGAAGGUGAGGAUGUGUCGCACCUUCAGGCGCUUCUGACAAAGCAACAUUGUCCCAGCUUUGUGCACACGGCCCCCUCUCAUUAACUGCCAAAACAAAAGUUCCAAUAAAAAAAACAACACCAAUUGCUUUUCUAUGCUGGAGAAGAUGUAUGUGAAGAUGUUGUCCUUCCCCUGCUGGAUGCUCUCACACAUCCCAUCUCCAUGACCCUGCCUCACACGCUACCUUUAUAAUGAACUCCUGCUCACUGCUGACCUGUGAUCGUUGCAUUCACUCGUCAACUGUUAUUGUUUGGACAGACAGAGAAGCAGCUUCAUGUAUCAGACUAGACAUGCACCAUACCCAACUAUCCAUCUAAAACUCUCUUGUUACAUAGUUUGACUUUUGCCCUAAAAUGCAUCUUUAGCUGGCACCUUUCCCGAGCCUUUGGGCUCCUUCGGGUUAGAUUCAAACUUCAUAAAACAGUCAAAUAUUUAGUCCUAACCGUAACUUCAUAACACAACACUGCAUGACUGCAAGCUUGCUUGCUGAUGCUGCUGGAUUUCAUGCGCAAUCACUGUUACACGUGUAGGUCUACUUUGAAAUAAAUUACUACUUUUCAAACGGUGUUUUUUGUUGUUUGCUCAUUUCUCGCCACAAACGUAUUCUGCAUGUAAACCAGCAUCGUUGCAGAGAUGACAAAGGAAUCUGUACAUUCAACAUUCAACACUAUUUUCUUCUGACAUGUUUCCCAUUUGGGGGUACUUAUGGUUAGCUUACCGUGGGGGGAAACCAACUCGGGCAUCCAAACACGGUUUCCCCCGCCCUUCCUCGCGCUCAUUCAAUCACCAGUCAGAACCCAGCCAGGAUGCAUUCACAGUCUCACAAAAAGCCUUUUAAAAAAUGUGCAUUUUCCCCACUUUGGUGUUCAAAAAAUAUCCAAGCAUUGCGAAGGAUCCAGGAUGAGUAUGCAAGAGAAACAGAAAAACGUAUUCCUAACUAAACAGUUGCAUAACACAGGUAACCCAAAGUGCCGUCUGGUGGC